rnacentral:rRNA from 1 species
UACGGGGGGGGCAAGCGUUGUUCGGAAUUACUGGGCGUAAAGGGCUCGUAGGCGGCCAACUAAGUCGGAUGUGAAAUCCCCAGGCUCAACCUGGGAACUGCAUCCGAUACUGGAUGGCUUGAAUUCGGGAGAGGGAUGCAGAAUUCCAGGUGUAGCGGUGAAAUGCGUAGAGAUCUGGAGGAACACCGAUGGCGAAGGCAGCCUUCUGGGCCAACACUGACGCUCAUGCACGAAAGCGUGGGGAGCAAACAGG